CACCACCUAUGCCUUGCAGCUGUAGCCCACCUCCCCGGCGUCGUCCCACUCUGCUCUCCCCCACGACCCCCACCUUCCUCCCGGUCCAUCCUCGACCUCCACUUGUUUCUGCCGUCCGGGGGUCGCGCCGCCGUCCGUGGAUCUCCGCCGCCCCGCCCAGCCACCUCCAGUCCCGGGCGCAACCAGAGCCGCCACCGUCCACGCGGACCCGCGCGUCGCCGGCCCGGUUCAUCAUCCCGAUGUGACCAGGCGCUCCAACCGCCGCAGCCUAUCAGAUCCGGUGAGAUCCGGCUGCCCCCGCACCUCCCUCCUGCUAACCGCCGGCGGAAGCCCCUCCUUCUCCAAGCACGUGGCUCGUGACCAGUGGAUCCAGUGGGUGACGGUGAUGGCCACUGGAUCCGCUGCAACCGGCCUCCUUCCCCCGACGCGGAUCCGGCGGGCACGACCCCAACCGCUUCUCUCUGCCGCGGAUCUGAUAUCGUCGGGUUUUCUUCACCAUCGUGGGGGAGGAGGGUGCUCCACCUCACGCCCUGCUCCACCUCAUGGCGGGCAGGCGCAACCAGAAGGCUUUUUUGCAGUUCACUGUUCCCUCGUCGACCACCGGCGUUUAUGCAGUCGAAGAUGGGGAGCUCGCCUCUCGUUCCAAUGAUGUGCAUCUUCUGCCCACACCCCUUUCUUGCAGUUCGCAUCCUCCUUGUGUGUGGUCUGGAGAACGCGUCCAUGCAGCUCACAGUCAUCUUGCAUUUGAUUUGACACACCAGAAACAAUUUUCCUCCCAUGUCAAAAUAGAAUUUUGCUGAUCAGUUGGAUAGUGAUAACAUGCAGUCUGCUCGGCAUGCUGGUGCUGGCUGAGGCGGCAACGCGUGCCGGCGCGCGUGCGGUGGGUGACUAGGAGCUCCCUGGCGAGCGUCCGUUCCCCUACGAGAAGUUCGUCGGUGAUUGUCUUACAUUACGCAUGGCUAGUGCCUGCAGUCCACUGUUGGGAUGGCAAGUACUGCAGUGCGAAGGAGUGCGGCGUGCAGCUCGCCCGAGCAUGCGAGCCAUGACGCUCACCUGCAGGAUGCAGCUCUCUCCUCCACUCCUUGCUUUCGCCACAGGGUGGCCGGUGACAUCCUUUUUUAGUAAUUCAAAGUUCACCAUGCAGGACACUAGCUAUCUGUAAAAAUGGUACCUCAUUAUAAUUUGUUAUUCAGACACGCAGUCCACUAACUAUUCUCUUCGGUUCAUUUUUUUGUUGUUUUCUUAGGAUGGGGAACAUACAAAAGUGGACGGCGUCCAGGGAUGUAAUUCUCUACCUGUGGCACGUUCAGCUGGGUGCUGCCAAUGCAAAGGAUAUUGUUUUGUAUUGGAGUGUGUGUGUGUGUGUUGAGUAGGUUACUAUUUUUGUUGUAGUCCAUGCGCUCGAUGCGAGUAGUGGCGCGGCAGUGCACUUCGUCGCCGUGUGAAGUUCCCUGUGUCGCCAUUGUAGUGUGGUUGCCCAUUUUUUUAUAAGUAAAGUUUGAAGCUCA